UACGUAGGGUGCGAGCGUUUAAUCGGAAUUACUGGGCGUAAAGCGUGCGCAGGCGGUUCGUUAAGACAGAUGUGAAAUCCCCGGGCUUAACCUGGGAACUGCAUUUGUGACUGGCAAGCUGGAGUGUGGCAGAGGGGGGUGGAAUUCCACGUGUAGCAGUGAAAUGCGUAGAGAUGUGGAGGAACACCGAUGGCGAAGGCAGCCCCCUGGGCUAACACUGACGCUCAUGCACGAAAGCGUGGGGAGCAAACAGG
rnacentral:rRNA from 1 species